rnacentral:lncRNA from 1 species
AAUGGUUUAGUAACUGUAAAUGAGUUCAUAAAGGACACUGUGGCAAUCAUGCAUGCGGCCAUGGACAUAAUUUUUUUCUUAAUUACAUUAGUAACCUGAUAAUUAAUUAUUCUAAAUGAUUGUCUAUAUGCACUACAAUACAGCAUCAGACAGCUGUUUUUCAAUAAACAAAAAAGCUAAGUUACAAAACCUUCCAUAGAGUCAUCAUUAGGGUCUCUCCUGAAACUCUGACAAAAUCUUCUUAUUUCUGGCCUUUGGAUUUUGAUGAUAAUUACGCUGGGGUUUACUUGGAUUUUUAAUAUCAAUUCAACAUACACAUACAUAUGGCCUUCUAUCUACACAAAUGGUUCCAAUCAUGGAUCUUUACUGACUGGGAUACAUACAAACAAAACAGGCUGAUAAAACCCUAGAUACCUCAACUGCAAACCAAAAAGGAAAGAAAGCCUUCAAGUACUAUUUGAAUGGUUGGUAAAGCCUUAAAGGAGGAAAAGAAAUGAAAAGGAGAAAAUGGAUACGCUAAAAAAAGGCUUAAUUUACAGUCCCAAGCCUCAAAGGAGAUCUAGAAAGGUUAUAGAAUACGAUCAAAUUCGAUAAGAAAUAAUAGAAUGUUGCUCACCUCUUUGACCUCAGGAGUCGGCACACAACUGCUGCAAUCAAAACCCUGCAAACGUAAGAAGAAUGAUGAAAUGAAAGUACCAAACACAUAUAUAUAGUAAAUUAUUUAUUCUUCCCACCAUAUUUACUUUUUUUGCAAGAUAAAAUUGUAAAGCUUGUAUAGGUUCACCUAGCUAGUAGAUAACUAGAAACUAAAAGGGUAAGAAACUGCAACAACGCCAUCAUUCAUCACCGGAAAAAUAGAAUACAAAAGAGUAAAACAUAAAUAUGUAUGACUGUGGAUGAAGAUAAUCAUAGUCUAUGCAUGGAAAUUUAACUGGAACUAUUUUUCCAAGGGAGAGAAAAGCAUGAAGAAACUAACGCAUCACAAGAGUUUUACAAAGAGAAGCCAACAGAGCUCAGUUGGCAGUAUGCCCACCUCCAUGAAAGACCAUAGAAGAAAAGGAAGGACUUGUUCUAUGAUAGUGCGAGGUGGACAGAAUGCCAAUGAACUCUGUAAGAAGCCCUUUGCCAAACCUCCCAUGAAAGCAAAGAAACAGUCCUUGUGUUUCACCGCAGAGGAGGGGAAGAGGAAAGAGUGUAAAUGACAAUAAGAACUAGGGUUGAUAGGUUCUCCUAUUUAAAGAAGAGGAAGAGGAGGAGAAGGUGGAGCUUCAGUCUGAAAAAAGAUAAAAAAUGUAAUAAUCAGAUUGGAUGGUUCAUUCCCCCUAUAAGGAGAGCAUAUUUAGAAGGAUCAUCAUCAUGGGGUUAUUCUCUCCUUGUCUAGCUUCCCCUCGUUACUGGUGAAAAAAACCCACACCCUCCGUUCAGUCUUUUCUUGCCACCCUCCCCACUAGUCCCCCACAACCUUCCCAGUUUCCAUCACCUUCCCCCCCUUGUGCAUGAUGAAACAUAGCCUCCUUAUACACUGACCAAAUAAUGACAAGAGUAAAGCAAAAUUGGUUUCAGAUACAGCUUUGUCUUUGAGAGGGAAAAACUACAACUUUGACCCUAACCGUUUCAUCUUUUAGAAGGGCAAAUAGGGGGCCAGUCCAACUGUCACCACCCAUGGAGAGUGAAUUGAACUAUUAAUUGCAGGCGUUGAGAGAGAGAGAGAACUAGUUACUUAAGCAUAAU